rnacentral:pre_miRNA from 1 species
UUUAUAGAAUAAGUAUAUCCCAUGCAAUAUUUGGGACAUACUUGUCCUAAAA